rnacentral:rRNA from 1 species
UAGGGAAUCUUCGGCAAUGGACGAAAGUCUGACCGAGCAACGCCGCGUGAGUGAAGAAGGUUUUCGGAUCGUAAAACUCUGUUGUUAGAGAAGAACAAGGACGUUAGUAACUGAACGUCCCCUGACGGUAUCUAACCAGAAAGCCACGGCUAACUACGUGCCAGCAGCCGCGGUAAUACGGAGGUGGCAAGCGCUGUCCGGAUUUAUUGGGCGUAAAGCGAGCGCAGGCGGUUUCUUAAGUCUGAUGUGAAAGCCCCCGGCUCAACCGGGGAGGGUCAUUGGAAACUGGGAGACUUGAGUGCAGAAGAGGAGAGUGGAAUUCCAUGUGUAGCGGUGAAAUGCGUAGAUAUAUGGAGGAACACCAGUGGCGAAGGCGGCUCUCUGGUCUGUAACUGACGCUGAGGCUCGAAAGCGUGGGGAGCAAACAGG